rnacentral:rRNA from 1 species
UACGUAGGGACCAAGCGUUGUUCGGAUUUACUGGGCGUAAAGGGCGCGUAGGCGGCGCGACAAGUCACUUGUGAAAUCUCUGGGCUUAACUCAGAACGGCCAAGUGAAACUGGUGUGCUAGAGUGCAGAAGGGGCAAUCGGAAUUCUCGGUGUAGCGGUGAAAUGCGUAGAUAUCGAGAGGAACACCAGAGGUGAAGACGGGUUGCUGGGCUGACACUGACGCUGAGGCGCGAAAGCCAGGGGAGCAAACGGG